AAAUCUGAUUCAUCCUACACACAUGUCCAAACGCAAUCCGGCUCAAGCUGAAAGAGAUGUGUCUGGAAGUGGGAGUGACACGGGGAGUGUGUGUG